rnacentral:rRNA from 1 species
AGAGUUUGAUCCUGGCUCAGGACGAACGCUGGCGGCGUGCUUAAUACAUGCAAGUCGAGCGGACCGAGCGGCGCGUUGCUGGUUUCCAGCGACAAGCUGCAAAGGUUAGCGGCGAACGGGUGAGUAACACGUGGGUAAUCUGCCCCCAAGACCGGGAUAACAGAGCGAAAGCGCUGCUAAUACCGGAUGACCUCUCUUUAUCGCAUGGUGGAGGGAGCAAAGCGUAAGCGCUUGGGGAUGAGCCCGCGUUCCAUUAGCUAGUUGGUGAGGUAACGGCUCACCAAGGCGACGAUGGAUAGCCGGCCUGAGAGGGUGACCGGCCACACUGGGACUGAGACACGGCCCAGACUCCUACGGGAGGCAGCAGUAGGGAAUUUUCGGCAAUGGGGGAAACCCUGACCGAGCAACGCCGCGUGAGGGAUGAAGGCCUUCGGGUCGUAAACCUCUGUCUUUGGGGACGAUAAUGACGGUACCCGAGGAGGAAGCCCCGGCUAACUACGUGCCAGCAGCCGCGGUAAU